rnacentral:lncRNA from 1 species
UAGGUCAUGCAGCAAAACAGUUUGUAGACAAGCACGUCUUACCGGAGGUUCCUCAACAGCCAGGUCAUGGUCUCCAAAUCAAACACACUAGCCUGCAGGUACUGUGGAAAACUGUACCAGAGACCAAAAGCUCUCCGCAAACACGAAGCAUCCGGAAUAUAAUGCUGAAAACAAUCAGGAUUCCACAUCUUCAGCAGAAUCAAGAUCAUCUAUUUAUCAGUACACCCGUCUGUCUCUCAUGCUUGGGCUUCUUCGAAUAAAUCGCAACGAUUCCAUUCACAUGGGAGAUGGUGGCAGGCAUGAUGAGACUAGUAAAGUGGUUCUGUUUAUACUACAAGGCAAGCAAAUGUCCAAAGUAUGCAUAUGGUCUCCUUUGAAACACAGGCAAAGGCAUAUGCUCUCCUAUAUGAACGGCAGGCUUUAUAGAUUGAUAUGGAACCGCACAGUCAACCAUCAAGGCAGAGAAGACACCAAUCAUCCCAUCGACCUUGACUUGGAGCAUUGCAACAGGGCUUUCAAAGAUGAUGUACACACAUACAAGGGGAGGUACACAGAUAAAAGACGAUUCUCAAAGUCAGCAGAAGUGCGCUGUCAAUGGAAGAAUUAUGCCAAAAAUACGACAAAUUGGCAUUCCGCAAGAAAUGUUCGGGAAGGCAUGGAGUUGUUGAUCCUUCUUGGUGAUAUUCUUAAACUUGUAGAACAAUUCCAUUCCUAUGCAGCUCUAUUCAAUGAGGCCAACAAGCCACUGCCACAGAGAAAUCAAAAACAUGCUGAGUGACAUCCAAAAUUGGAUUUCAGAAAGUCUUAAAGUCUUCAGUAGCCGCACAUACUAUAACAUCUGAACCUUUUUUCCCGAUGUGUAAUUCAGUGUCACAUGAUUAAAACGAGACCCUGUUGCAAAGUCGCUAUCACUGUAUGUUUCAUGAUCUUCAUGUUCUGAGUCUGAGUGAGAUGAUGAGCUAUCACUCGAGUCAAGGGAAGUUUUGUACAACUCAAGAAUAUCACAUCUACAUUCACUACAUGGGGUAAUUGCAUGUCCAUGAGUCUCUGCAGUCACAGAGACACUUGCAAGAUAUGGCACAGUUGUCCAUAGCACUCAUGACUUCAGUAAAGCUCAACUCGUCGACAUACGUUGGUUCUGACAUACUGUUUCAUUUCAUCCGAAAUAUUCCGCCUGCCACUGAGACAUCGUCUAAAUUUCAUGAGAAGAGCAUGUGCCUGCUUUUCUGGAUCCCUGCCUGCUCCGUCCUUGUCUCUUGAAUAUAAUCCUCAACAUUAUUGGCUGGACCAUAGUGGAUGACGGUUUCCACACUUUCUUAGCAUUGUGUAUACACAACGUAAUUAACGGAUUCUGACAUCAGCCACAUAUCUCGGACCACCCCACGAGUCUCUCUUAACCGUUCAAUUAACGUUCCGCUUGGUGUUGCCACACCUGUCCGCCAUCUGCUGUUGAGAUACUGUAACGGUUCUCGUCUGAAAAGAGGACUUCCCCCACUGCUGGUGCUGUGCUACCCACUGAAGACGGUCCAGGAAACAAAGAAGAAGACUGAAAGGAUACCACUGGGAGUGCUUCAGUGAGGACCUCAGUGACCGUUCUCCAUCACAGUAGGUGCUCAGCGGAGGGGACUACCUCACCCUUGAGAGGCAGAAACAAGCCAAUCAUGCACUUACGAGAUGGACCUACACCAAGUUCCAGAUUACAAGGACUUGUUCCAAAGAUGGAAGAGUUCCAUAACGAAGCUGAAUUUCUAAAGGUUAUAUGGAAACACUUGUACUCGUCCUCCUCUAACAAGCCUGUUUGGCACUCUGCAUGCUGCAAAGGAGCACAAUAAAUGCGGUGAAUGUUACUCAGGAUCCUCAUGACAACUUUUACCCAUGCUCUGAAUUCAUGGACAAGGUCACCACCGCCUACAUCGUAACUGGGGGACUACAUUACUUCCAAAUGGAACACCUCACUUCUGUCCCAACGUCAAGUUACAUGGGUGCUGUUGGCAAUCCAUAUAAA